UUUUUUAUUACGGAUUGAGACAGAGAGAAAAAGAGAGAGAGGGCCUAGAAUCAAAUAAUAGUGUGAGUAAUGGCGUUUUGAAACUCUCAGUUUGAACUGAACUGCCUGAACCUGUGGGUGCCGAUCCGGUUCUUGGGAACCAGGCUCAAUGUAGUUCUUGGAAACCCGGCAAUCAUCUAGGGUCGAUCUGGCUCUUGGAAUCUUCGGGGUCAGAUCUCAUUCUUGGAAACCCUACAAUCAUCAUGGAAUCAUCAUAUUCCCUAUUUUUUUAUAUUUUAGUUUUAGUUGUAUCCAUAACCGAUAUGGACAUACUGAACUGAACUACCACCCACCGGUGCCCUGGUUGUUUUAAUCUAAAGCAGAACUUUAAAAAUAUAAUAUCGUUAGAAAUUGAUCAAAAUCAAUAUUGGACUGGUUUUUUCACUGGUUAAAUAAAGUUGAGAAUUUUUUACUAAUACAUUAUAUAUUUCAAAAUGCCAUUUUUAUUUUCUUUAUAUAUUUUUUUGAAAUAUGAUUCACCAAUUAGUUUUGACUGGACUAGACCUAUGACUGAUUCAAAGUCAGAUCUUGAUAACUAUGAUAUCCACACAGAUAAGUCUGUAUUACCUAAACUCAUUUGGCAGGUGAGCAGCUAAGGCUUUAAAAAGUUUGAAGGAUGAAGUGGUUGAGAGAGAGUCAUUUUCCAUGGAUGUAACCAGUGUGUGACUACUCAGCGGAGUUAAUCAAACUCAGUCCUGGCCAAGCCAAGUAACUAUAUACAACUCUGGUAUAUAUAUUUAAAAAUAAAUAAAAAUUAUAUAAAUUUGCUCAUAAAAAUCACAAACGUAAUUUGGAUGUAUUUCACAAUGAUUUGUUAGUUUUAAUUGUCAAAUGCCUCAAUUAUGCAUUUUCUUUUUUUCAAAUUUUUUGAAGGUAAAUCAAUUUGUUUUUAAAUCUAUUUUCUUAUAUUUGUUGGCUUCAUUUUGUUUUUUAAUUAUAUUCCACUAAAAUCUUUAUAUUAUUUUUAACUUUUUUUUCUGAAAUUUCUUAUUAGGGUUUUUUUAGCGUUAUAUAUUAGUGUUAUGAAGAUUGGACUAACCAGCAAACAACCGGUUUGACAGACUGGUUUUAAAGAUAAAAAAUAAAUAAAUAAAACUAAAAAAAACAGUUUUCGUUUUAUUAAUCAGUCUAACCAGUUAAAAUUAAUGGAUGGGCUAAAAUCAGUUAAAUGUACAAAUCUUACCGGGUCAGCUAAGGCACCGAUUAGUGGUGACCAUGAUGUUCAUAACUACCCCGUGUAUUACUUGGGCCUCCUACCCGGGACGAGUCUGAA
rnacentral:lncRNA from 1 species